rfam:Capsicum annuum cultivar Zunla-1 chromosome 10, whole genome shotgun sequence
UUUGAAUCAAUGAUGAUUAGUUUAAUUACUACGUUAUCUUUCUAGAAUAUCCUAUUUAUAUAGGAUUGAAGAAGAUUUUUCUAAUUGAGAUUCAGU